UUGAUUUAUACUACUAAAUUUUAUUUUUUAUUACUAUAUUAUUAUAAAAGGAAUCUCAUAUGGGUUGAUGCCAUUUAGUUUCUGUUCUUCUGUCUAACGGUGUCGUUUAGUUUUUACUAUUUUGUUCACUUGACGAAAGAUGAACAAAUUAGCAGAAAUUAAAAUUUUCCACAAAAAAAAAAAAAAGAUUUCUUCUUAUCCCAAGUGUUGUGAUUCAUUUCUAUUUGAUAGUUGUAUAAGAUUAAUAUUAUCUUCUUUGCCUUUGCAAUUCUCCCAUUGCACUAGGAAGCUUUCAUCUUGAGUUUACAGUUUAGCUUUCAUCUUGGAUCGGUCUUUGUUCAUGGUUGAUUUUACUAGACUGAAAGAGGGAAAGAUUCUUACUAAAAUUAUUUUGAUGCCUUUACCAUCCGUCUGCAUUUGGCUGCUAGAAAUAAUAAUUAUAAGAUGAUUGGCUUUAAUUCUACCUCUUUUACUAGGCCUAGUCUUUUUAGUGCUUGCUGAAGGUAAAAGUAAUGAGUUUUGUGCAACAUUUUAGUGCUUGCUGAAGGUAGGUAAGAGUAAUGGGUUGUGAGAUGAAUUGCUUCUUCUUCUUCUUCUUCUUUUUUUUUUUUUUUUUGAUGUGAUAUUAUGUAUGAAGUUAAUUUCAAUUGGCAAUGUGUAGUGUCAAGCAAGGUUCGUUCUGAUGGCCUUUUCCAUUAAAAGAUGAUAAGAAAUGAAAACAUAGAAGCAAACUAAACAAAAAGAAUAGCUAAAAGAUAAGUUAAAAAUGAUACUUCAAGAGUCUCAAAAGCUAUGCAUGGGUUCUAUCAGUAAAAUGAGUUGAUAAGUGAUGAUUGGAUCGAAUUUGUGGCUAAGGUCUCAUCAAAGAGCAAUGAGAAUUCAGUUGGCAAUUAUUGAAAAUAGGUGGGUGGUCUACAAUAGUAUGAUGACCUGUGUAAUAGAACACACAAGUAGAGAGGAAAAUUGUACACUUGCAUUUCUCUUUACAAAAAGUACAGAAAUUAGUACCCUCUCAAAUCCUUAAUAAUUAGCUUAAGAAUCAAUAUGCAAUGUAUUGUAAGUAUAGAUUUAUACUGGGAAGUGGGAACAUCCAUUUUCUUUUCUGGUGCUUAGUUUAUUCAUUUUUUAUUGUAGGUAUAAUAAGUCAACAGUAAAAAGUAAAGCCAAUUUUUGUUAUACAUUCUUAGUAGUUUAGCUUUGGGGCUUUGUUUAUUUAUCUUUUUCAAUGAUGAUAUUUAAAUGUGGUCAGAGUAUUACAAUACCGCUAAAAGCAAUAAUAUAUUUGAGUAAGAGUACUAUCAUUUACUUUUAUUAUAUAUUUUUAGAAGGAUGAAGCUAGCGGUAGAUAUUCUAUAGAAGCUUUGGACUCCUUAGUACAAUUCAAUUUUUUUAAAAAAAAUUUGAGCAAAUGGAAAAAGAACGAAAAUCUAAUACAUGACAUCAGAUUAUUCGAAUCAUAACCAUUAUUUGCCUAGAAUAAAGAACCUAGAUGUACUUCUCUUGGAUUAUCAAUUUUUUUGUCUGCAGAUAUUUAUUAUGAUUGCAUUAUUUUUUAUUCCUAUUGAGUAGUGGUGGAUAGUUUAUCAUGGAUUUUGUAAGUGAAUCGAAGCAAAAUAGAGGUAGGAGAUUAGAAAGAGUGCAUAUGAACAAAUUACAAAGAUGUCAUUCUAGAGGAAAGACAAAUAAUGAGCAGAUAGUUGUUGUGAAAUAUUAACAUACAAAAGUUAAUUAGGAAGAAAUAAGAAAAGUUUGUCGAUCAGAUGUUUAUUGAAAUGGUCCAAUUCAACCUCAUAUAAUAGUACAUUCUAUGGUUGGUCCAAAUGGAGAGUUACAAACAGUAUGCAUUCAAAAUUCCAAACGUUAAUAAAAGAAAAUUUAAAUCUAGCUUUGAAGCUUUAGGGAGUAGUGGUAAAAAAAUUGUGAAGAUUGGUUCGCAUCAUAAGUGGGUAAUAUUUAAUUGACUUAACUAAAUAUAUAAAUCAUGAAUAUUUUCUCUGAUUAUUUUAUUUAUUUUGUUCUUAUUGUUAAUAUAUUUAGGAAGUUGUUGCUUAUCUUUGGAUUUUGGUGGACCUAAUUGCAUUUCUCCUUUUUGUAGAGCUUUGGUGUGUUAUGAAGAAAGGAUUGAUACAUCAAAACGCACUAAGAAUCCCACAUUUUCUUUGUGCUAUCAAGAGGGUUUAGUUAGAUUACUAUCUUUUGAGCCCACUCCAAUAUUGUUGGAUGAUUUACUUGAUUAUAGAGAGGGUUCUGCUUCAGAGAUAAUAUUAGAGUUUAUAAUUCUAUGUUUAAAUUUAGUCUAUUGGUGGUAAAAUUGGCAACUCCAUUAACUAUAGAGCAGGUCCAUAUGUUUCCAAAUUUGCGGCCGGAAUCAUCAUAGGAUAGGGUCAUUGUUACCUCCUUCAAGUGUUAAGACUGAAAUUUGCCCAAUUAUAUAUAUGAUAUAGAAAAUGAAACUUAUAAUAGAA